rnacentral:lncRNA from 1 species
GAGUUGGGGGAGAGGACCAGAACCACCUGCUGGAGAAGGGGAGCUACGGGGGCCGGGCAGGGUCCAAACGCCUCACGUAGGCGGCGGCGCCACGGUCUUCGGGGUCACAGGGAAGAGAAGGGCUCUCCUCAAGCGGGUGGAAGGAGGGAGGCCUCCCGAGGGAGUGAGACUCUAGGCCACUCCCCCGCAGCAAGGCAGGAUCACCUGCGACGCGGAGAGCGGUUAGAGGGCCCUGGAGUGGAAAAGGGCAGUGGGACCUGGUAGCUUGGGUUCCCUGCAACUUGGGGUUCGACCUCCAGGCAAUGAAGUAGGGAUGGUCCUGCAAGUCAAGAUUCCAGUAGCAAGAGUGCAUCAGAUCUCUGUAAGGAAAAUAACUAACAUUGCUCAGUUCCCUGUAGAGUUGCAGGGCGCUUUAACGUUAUCUCCCUUGGUUCUCCAUCAGGUCGUAGUGGACUAAUUUUACAGGCGAAGUUAAGUGACUUACCCAAAACCUCACAGCUAAUAAACGGCAGAGCCGGCACCCAGCUGUACUGGCUUCCAAUUCUGUUAGCUUACCAGCGCAUCACAUUAUCUCCAUAAAUCCCCAUGAUUCAACUAAUAUUAGACGCCCCACAGAGUCUCGCUACUCAAAACGUGGUCAGUGGCCCAGCAGCACUGACAUGAGGAUGUUAGUUAGAAACUCAGAAUCUCAGGCUCCACCCCAGACCUGCUGAACCAGCAUCUUCAACUUAACAAGAACCCGAAGAGAUUUGUGUCACAUCAAAAAGUUUGAGAAGCUCUGAUCUAGGGCUGGAAGGAGUGUUGCUCAACAAUAUCCAAAACCACAGAGGUUGAAAAGCACAAGGAAAGAAGGUAUGUUUGCACUUUGUGAUUAGGUAGUAGGGUCUUUGAGACCACAUUGUUCUUAUUGAAAGCCUGGGAAGAAAGAUCCCCUUUCUGGUCAAGUUUAGUCUAGGGAUCCAUCCCAUCUUCCCCAGUUCCCACGUGUAUGGGACAUGUCGAGAUAAGUAGAUAGAUUGGACAGUGGGAGAAAGUAGUUCUCUUCCAGUUGCUUCUAUUUUCUCAGCAAAGUGAGGAGCAAGAUCAUUUUGGCAGACUGCUAAUUGUCCAUCACAAUUUAGUCUCCCUUUCUCCCUGAAAACACAGACUGCUUUUCUCAGCCUCUCUUUCAGUUGCAUAUGGUCAAGUAUUAAGUUAUAGAACGUGAGCAGAUGUUAUGUCUGCCACUGUCAGGCCAAGGCGUUUACUUUGAGAGUACUUGUGCCUCUUUCAUGCAUUUUCCUUUCUGCCAGCUGGACCCUGGACACGGUGACUCUGAUUCAAUUAUGCAGAUGACCACAAACCUCUGGGGUUGGCAGAGCCACAAGAAAGAAGGUGCCUGGAUGAAGGAGAGCUACCCACUGACCUGGACACCCAAUUAUAGGAUAGACAGUGAAGUGCAACUACAGCCCGCAAAUGAAAAUGAAUAAUAUUAAUCCAGCCCCUCAAGGCAGUCAUCUGUCUUAGAGCUAUUGGAAUCCUGGAUCAUUGUGGGAAAUGAAAGGAACUGGUUUUUAGCAAGGAGACCAAGAAACUCUACUCCCUAGGGGCUAGCAAUGAGAGAAAGGAAGCCUUAAGUCUUUGAGCACAGGGUGACAGUUUGGGUCCUAUGUGAGAUGAUCAAAUCCACAGCAACAGAGGAAAGGACAAAAGGAAAAGAUACUUCGAUGGAAUCAGCAGCCAUUGAUCCAAUGCCAACUCCAAGACUGGAACGUCGCAAUGAUAGUUCCAAGGCGGAAAUUUGACGUAAUUCUUUUCGACACAGUUUUACAGGCAUCUUGCAUGUGAAUAACUCACAACUUUAAUUCAUGGAACAAAUUGAGAAAUAGUCUUUUGGGGGUUUGGUACUCCCUGGAAACAUAAGAGUGCUUUGGGCACCUCUGGUGCCUUUCCAUGCCUGCCUUCUCUGCUGUUCUUGCUACUAGUGAAUUCUAAAUCAUGGCCAAGUGAUGCCAGCACUGGAUAAUAUUGGCUCUGCCCCAUAUCUCGAGGGAAAACUCUAGGACUUGGCAUUAUAUGUGUGGGAAUCUGGCCUUGGUUGGCACUCCCAGCAUGAUAGCGGGGUUCUCCUGUCUGAAUGUACUCUGGGGUGUGCGCCACAAUUUCUGUCAUCGAAAUGGAGAUGAGAGAAUAUGCCCUUGGUGGGGACACCCCACUGGAAUUAGAGUGAAGAGAUCAAAGCUAGAGGUUCUUAAAUCAAAGAAUAUCUAAUAGCAAAGACAAAAACUUGCUUAAGGGAAAUGCAUACAAGUACUAGACCUAAUAUGAUGAAAAAUGCCAACUUCAAUAUAUUGAUGCAUGCUUAGUACACUUUCAGUCCUGCAAAGACAAAGUUUUUUGUUGUUUUUUUUUUGAGACGGAGUCUCGCUCUGUCGCCCAGGUUG